CCAUACGCUGGCUGUCCAUAACUUCCCUGACCGUACGAUGGCUGCCCGUAAUUCGAUUGGCCGUAUGGAGGCGCUGUUGGUGGUGGCGCCGGUGCGCCAUACCCCCCGUAGGGGUAUCCGGACGGCGGAGCCGCCGAAUAGUAAGGAUUGGGAGGAGCAGAGUACGGAGCGACAUAAGGAGGCGGCGGAGCAGAGUAAUCCCUAGCGCUACCUGGCGGUGGGACUCCAUACGGCGGGGUGUAAUAAGAAUCGGAUGAUCGGUAACGUGGUUCUCGGACAGUUACUUUAACUUCGAUUUUCCCUUGCGGCCUACCGGAGGGCCGUUUCAAU
rnacentral:lncRNA from 1 species